rnacentral:rRNA from 1 species
GACAGAGGCCUCGAGCGUUAGGCGGAAUCACUGGGCUUAAAGCGUGUGUAGGCGGAUCGUUAAGUACCUUGUGAAAUCCCACGGCUCAACCGUGGAACGGCUGGGUAUACUGGCGGUCUUGGGCCAUCUAGGGGCGACCGGAACAAACGGUGGAGCGGUGAAAUGCGUAGAUAUCCGGAGGAACACCGGUGGCGAAGGCGGCUUCCUGGACCGACACUGACGCUGAGGCGCGAAAGCGUGGGGAGCAAACAGG